rnacentral:tRNA from 2 species
GGUGACGUGCCCGAGUAGCCUAAGGGGGUUGAUUGCAAAUCAACUAUCCGUCGGUGCGAAUCCGACCGUCACCUCCA